ACCGUGAAUGUUACUGCUGGGACUUUUUAAACUCCUGACUUCAGUGUGGACCAAACCAAGGACUCAGAAUGUAUCCCACUAUUUCAUGUGCUUCUAACCAUGAUCACAUAGUUCCCUGUCCACCAAAAUGGGCACCUGCCUGUCUUUCAGCACAUUUUCCUGUCUAAUGGAAACUGGAUUUGUACUUUCUCUUAUUUAAUUCACUGAAGGAAUGAAAGUAAUUGUUGAAGUCCAGACUUUUCAUGGUUCAUAUCACCAGGGCCAGUCACCGCAAAGGGAAAAAAUUUGGAUUCCUGAAUGAAGACAGACAGAGGAGGCAUAACAGGCCAGUGAAUGGAAGCCAGUGGAGGCCUCUCUCUGCAAAGCAUAUAUUAAAAAUCUGGUAAGAGCACAGAAUGGCUUCAUAUGGAUGGUCUAAUCUGAGAGAGUUACCCUGUCUUGUCCUACAAAUUAGUCCUGUUGACAAAAUGAAAGGCAAAUAUCACUUCAAUGGGAAGAGUGGAGGGGUGGACCAUUGAAUAUAGAAUAUUUGCUUUCAAAUAAAAAUUAGUUUUUGAUGACCA
ensembl:lncRNA